GAUGAACGCUGGCGGCGUGCCUAAUACAUGCAAGUCGAGCGAACAGACGAGGAGCUUGCUCCUCUGACGUUAGCGGCGGACGGGUGAGUAACACGUGGAUAACCUACCUAUAAGACUGGGAUAACUUCGGGAAACCGGAGCUAAUACCGGAUAAUAUAUUGAACCGCAUGGUUCAAUAGUGAAAGACGGUUUUGCUGUCACUUAUAGAUGGAUCCGCGCCGCAUUAGCUAGUUGGUAAGGUAACGGCUUACCAAGGCGACGAUGCGUAGCCGACCUGAGAGGGUGAUCGGCCACACUGGAACGGAGACACGGUCCAGACUCCUACGGGAGGCAGCAGUAGGGAAUCUUCCGCAAUGGGCGAAAGCCUGACGGAGCAACGCCGCGUGAGUGAUGAAGGUCUUCGGAUCGUAAAACUCUGUUAUUAGGGAAGAACAAAUGGGUAAGUAACUAUGCACGUCUUGACGGUACCUAAUCAGAAAGCCACGGCUAACUACGUG
rnacentral:rRNA from 1 species